rnacentral:rRNA from 1 species
UACGUAGGGUGCAAGCGUUGUCCGGAAUUAUUGGGCGUAAAGAGCUCGUAGGCGGCUUGUCGCGUCGGCUGUGAAAACCUGGGGCUCAACCCCGGGCCUGCAGCCGAUGCGGGCAAGCUAGAAUUCGGUAGGGGAGACUGGAAUUCCUGGUGUAGCGGUGAAAUGCGCAGAUAUCAGGAAGAACACCCGUGGCGAAGGCGGUUCUCUGGGACGGGACUGACGCUGAGACGCGAAAGCGUGGGGAGCGAACAGG